CAAACCAAAAGGACGGUAACUGUUUUCAAACUGUAAUUAUGCGACACUCAAAGCAGAAUUUGGCAGAUUUGCCGACUUUGGGACUCAGAAAUUCCCCCAGAAGCCGAGAGUUUGCAUUUUCAAGCUGUGAAACAAGUGUGUGUGUGUG